GACGAAGGGGGCUAGCGUUGUUCGGAAUUACUGGGCGUAAAGAGCGCGCAGGCGGUCGUUCAAGUCGAGUGUGAAAGCCCCCGGCUCAACUGGGGAGGGUCAUUCGAUACUGAUCGACUUGAAGGCAGGAGAGGGAAGUGGAAUUCCCGGUGUAGUGGUGAAAUGCGUAGAUAUCGGGAGGAACACCAGUGGCGAAGGCGACUUCCUGGCCUGUUCUUGACGCUGAGGCGCGAAAGCUAGGGGAGCAAACGGG
rnacentral:rRNA from 1 species